rnacentral:rRNA from 1 species
UACGUAGGGUGCGAGCGUUAAUCGGAAUUACUGGGCGUAAAGCGUGCGCAGGCGGCUUUGCAAGACAGAUGUGAAAUCCCCGGGCUCAACCUGGGAACUGCAUUUGUGACUGCAUGGCUAGAGUACGGUAGAGGGGGAUGGAAUUCCGCGUGUAGUAGUGAAAUGCGUAGAUAUGCGGAGGAACACCGAUGGCGAAGGCAAUCCCCUGGGCCUGCACUGACGCUCAUGCACGAAAGCGUGGGGAGCAAACAGG